rnacentral:misc_RNA from 1 species
UCACCCCUCAAGCCCCGUGCUUAGUGUUGGAUGGCUUAGUCGCGUCAUCGCGACUCCUCCUAAAGACAAUGACGGCGGCCUGUGGUUCCCCCGGUACACUGAGCUUUUAAUUGAGCACGUAUUGGAUAAGGGCACCCGGGACCCGGUCUUCUCCCUUUACCGGGAAAUUUUCAAU